rnacentral:rRNA from 1 species
UACGAAGGGGGCUAGCGUUGCUCGGAAUGACUGGGCGUAAAGGGCGCGUAGGCGGCGAUCACAGUCAGAUGUGAAAUUCCUGGGCUUAACCUGGGGGCUGCAUUUGAUACGUGGUUGCUUGAGUGGGGAAGAGGGUCGUGGAAUUCCCAGUGUAGAGGUGAAAUGCUGUAGAUAGCGGGAGGAACACCAGUGGCGAAGGCGAGCUUCCUGGCCUGUUCUUGACGCUGAGGCGCGAAAGCUAGGGUAGCAAACGGG